UUGACUGCCAAGGUAUGGCAGUGUUUGUGUUAUUUGACCUAAUAAUGACCCCAAAAUGCAAGCACUGUGAUGCAGGCGAUUUGGAGAUGUCAAAGAAACUAUAAAGUGCUUUCUUUAAGUGCAAAGGUACAGGGCUUGGUACUAUCUGUGAUUACAGGCAUCUUGGAACUUACAAAUAUGAAUUUUGGAGGGACACAUCUUCAAAUCAUAGCAACAGUGGCCCAAAAAGUUCCCGCCCAUGUGAACUCUCCCGUCGGCGCCAAUUUCAAAUCUCGCUGUCGGGGAACCUUAGCCCCAAUGAGAACUAAUUCCUGGGCUCCGGAGCUGAUAUCUGGAAGAACUUGCCAAUAAACGGGUGGCCUGCCAUUUAUCUAAGCCCCACCAUCUCCCCCUUAGUUGUAUAUAAGCACACAGCCUUUUGCAAUAAAAUUGGAAUUCUCCCGGCGAAA